CUAUUGAGGAGCACACAGCUCCCUGGAAGAGGAAGGAGAAAAUGCUCAGGCUGAGUGGGGCUGAGAAAGAUUUUGUAUAAUUUAUUCAGAAGUGCCAAAUUUCAGUGAACCCAACCCAGAUUAUCGAGGACAACAGAGCAGAGGGGCACACAAUGAACAGAAGAAUAAUUCCAUGAAUAAUAACAUGGGUACAGGUACAUUUGGACCAGUGGGUAAGAUUUUUUUUUUUCAUAUUUGUGAUCAGAUGUUAA